rnacentral:rRNA from 1 species
UACGAACGCUGGCGGCAUGCCUAACACAUGCAAGUCGAACUAAGGCUUCGGCCAUAGUGGCGCACGGGUGAGUAACGCGUGGGAAACUGCCUAUUCGUGGGGAAUAACGACGGGAAAUUGUCGCUAAUACCGCCUAAGCCCUUCGGGGGACAGAUUUAUCGCCGAUAGAUGUGCCCGCGUCCGAUUAGCUAGUUGGUGAGGUAAUGACUCACCAAGGCGACGAUCGGUAGUCGGUCUGAGAGGAUGAUCAGCCACAGUGGGACUGAGACACGGCCCAGACCCCUACGGGAGGCAGCAGUGGGGAAUAUUGGACAAUGGGCGAAAGCCUGAUCCAGCAAUGCCGCGUGAGUGAUGAAGGCCUUAGGGUUGUAAAGCUCUUUCGGGUGGGACGAUGAUGACGGUACCACCAGAAGAAGCCCCGGCUAACUUCGUGCCAGCCGCCGCCGUAA